GAUGAACGCUGGCGGCGUGCUUAACACAUGCAAGUCGAACGGGAAUUCUUUUAUUGAACCUUCGGUCGAUUUGAUUUAAUUGUAGUGGCGGCCGGGUGAGUAACGCGUGGGUAACCUGCCUUAUACAGGGGGAUAACAGUCAGAAAUGGCUGCUAAUACCGCAUAAGCGCACAGAGCUGCAUGGCUCGGUGGGCAAAACUCCGGUGGUAUAAGAUGGACCCGCGUUGGAUUAGCUGGGUGGUAGGGUAACGGCCCACCAAGGCGACGAACCAUAGCCGGCCUGGGAGGGUGAACGGCCAGAUUUGGACUGAGACACGGACCAGACUCCUACGCGAGGGAGCAGAGGAGAAUAUUGCACGAUGGAGGAAACCCUGAUGCAGCGACGCCGCGUGAAGGAAGAAGUAUCUCGGUAUGUAAACUUCUAUCAGCAGGGAAGAUAGUGACGGUACCUGACGAAGAAGCCCCGGCUAACUACGUG
rnacentral:rRNA from 1 species